CUGGGGUUAUUUGCUAGAUGGAGUGCGUUUGUGUUUCUUGGCUUCCUGAAAGCUGUGUCUGUCUUUUUCACUGCCUGGCUGGAGAGACUCGGGGGAGAAAGAAGGCGUUGUGCUUGAUGGCACGGUUUCCUUGGGCAAAGGAUGCUUUGGCAGCAGAGGUUUGCUGUCAGGAGGCAUGAAAGCACUGAAGCCAAUGCUGCCGUGCCCUGGGCCCAGAGACAUCAGCUCCCAGCACGUCCCUGGCGGUGGAUGUGUGCAAGCUCUGUGUCUGCCAGUGGUUGCUCCAAAGGCUUUGUGGUCAGCUGUGCGUGGCUGUUUUGCUCUUGAGGGCGUGGGAACAGAGGGCAACACGCUGAUGGGAGUGAUGGUGUCCUGCUCAGCAAUGGAUGUGCUGGGUGGCAGAAGAGGAUUCUUGGCCGAGCGUGGAAAAUCUCUCUGCUCCUUCCUGAAGGACACAGUAUUCCACUUGGAAAGGGCCUCCAAGGAUCCCUGGUAUCCUCUGAGAGCUCUGAGCUGCCACACCAAUUUGAAGCUGACUUCAUUUCUGGUCUUCCCCUUCAGCAGAAAAGCUCAGACAGCUGAGCCAAGCGAGACGCUGGAUUUCCUUUGGCAUCAAGGAAAGCAUCGUGAGAUGUUCUGAUGCCCUCUCACAAUUCUUUCUCCCUCCGCCAGCACCAGAGCUGGCGUCCAAAGACGCAAUGACACUGCCACAGGCAUUGUGGAGAUUUCUAUGGGAUAGGGCCAUGGUAAGGCUUUAUUGACAGAGGGAGGGACAAUGAAGAUUGGAUGUCAGGGAGAAGGUCUUUCCAGAGACGGUGGUGAGAUGCUGGAAGCGGAUGCCCAGAGAGCUUGUGGACGCCGCGUCCGUGGCAGUGUUGAAGGCCAGGUUGGAUUGGGCACUCGGCAGCCUAGUCUAGGAUUAGAUAUGAUGCAGAUGGGAUUCAAGCAUCUGUUUUGCAGCCAGCUCGAGUGGAGCUCUUGGAGCUCAUGGGCGCCCCAUGCCCGCAUCAGCGUGGGUAGUGUGUGCCCUUCCUGCGCGGUGGGGCUUUGCUGUUUGGAGGCUGACGCUGAGGAGACUGUGUUUCUUCGUUUAUCGGUGGCAGAAAUCCAGCUCUGUCAGCAGAGGACUCCUGCGGCUGGCUGGCCUCAGCCUGAGAUGUUGAUGCUUCCAUCUCCUCAGGUUCUUUCUGCCUGCUCUUCUUAGCCCUGCGCCUGAGAAGUCUGACUGAGUCGCAUGCCAGAAGUGGAAGCCGGGAUGGAGUGCCUUGCGAUGCCUGCGACGGGCUGGACUGAGCCCUUGAGGAAGGUCUGGAAUCGUUGCUGAAAGAUUCGUUGGCUUUGGGCAACUUCAGCACCGCAGCCACACGAUGGGCUUUUUCCGCUUCCCGUUCUUCCUCACGGAAGCUCACGUGUUUGGUUCCCGGGGCUCGGCCCAGGUCUUCUUGGCUGUCUGUUUCUGCCUGGCCCUGCAGCUGGCAGGUCAGCGGCUGCUUUUGGUCUUCAGGCACUCCAGGGAUGGCUGGCAGCAG
ensembl:lncRNA